rnacentral:rRNA from 1 species
UACGGGGGGAGCAAGCGUUGUUCGGAUUUACUGGGCGUAAAGGGCGCGUAGGCGGCCAGUGCAAGUCAGUUGUGAAAUCUCCGAGCUUAACUCGGAAAGGUCAACUGAUACUGCUCGGCUAGAGUGCGGAAGGGGCAACUGGAAUUCUUGGUGUAGCGGUGAAAUGCGUAGAUAUCAAGAGGAACACCUGCGGCGAAAGCGGCUUCCUGGUCCAGUACCGACGUUCAGGCACGAAAGCGUGGGGAGCAAACAGG